CGUCCCCAAGUCAGGCGGGAACACCCGCUGAGUUUAAGCAUAUCAAUAAGCGGAGGAAAAGAAACUUACCAGGAUUCCCCUAGUAACGGCGAGCGAACCGAGAAGAGCCCAGCUUGAGAAUCGGGCGCCCUCGGCAUCCGAAUUGUAGUCUGGAGAAGCGUCCUCGUGGGACGGGCCCAAGUCCCCUGGAAGGGGGCGCCGGAGAGGGUGAGAGCCCCGUCGUGCCCGGACCCUGUCGCACCACGAGGCGCUAUCUGCGAGUCGGGUUGUUUGGGAAUGCAGCCCCAAUCGGGCGGUAAAUUUCGUCCAAGGCUAAAUACGGGCGAGAGACCGAUAGCGAACAAGUACCGUGAGGGAAAGAUGAAAAGGACUUUGAAAAGAGAGUCAAAGAGUGCUUGAAAUUGUCGGGAGGGAAGUGGAUGGGGGCCAACGAUGCUCCCCGGUCGGAUGUGGAACCGCGACAAGCCAGUCCGCCGAUCGGCGCGGACCGACGCGGAUCGCAGCGGCGGCCCAAGCCCGGGCACUAGAAACGCCCGCGGAGACGCCGUCGCAGCGAUCGUGGGACAAGCGCUCCGUCCUGGCGUGCCCGAUGCCAGCGCUCUGGCGUCGGCGGCGGGCUCCCCAUUCGGCCCGUCUUGAAACACGGACCAAGGAGUCGACAUGUGUGCGAGUCAACGGCGAGUAAACCCGUAAGCGCAAGGAAGGCGAUGGCGGGAUCCUCGAGGUUGCACCGCCGGCCGACCUCGAUCUUACGAGAAGGGUUCGAGUGAGAGCAUGCUGUCGGGACCGAAAGAUGGUGAACUAUGCUCGAAGCGGGCGAAGCCGAGAAACUCGGUGGAGGCCCGCAGCGAUCUUGGACGUGCAAAUCGUUCGUCGACUUGGGUAUAGGCGAAAGACUAAUCGAACCGUCUAGUAGCUGGUUCCUCCGAAGCUUCCUCGGGAUAGUGGAGCUCGGGGCGAGUUCUAUCGGGUAAAGCCAAUGAUUAAAGGCAUCGGCGCAACGCCUCGACCUAUUCUCAAACUUUAAAUAGGUAGGGCGCGGCUGCCAUUUGGCGGCGCCACGGAAUCGAGCUCCAAGUGGGCCAUUUUUGGUAGCGAGCGCGAUGCGGGAUGAACCGAAGCCGGGUUACGGUGCCCAAUCGCACGCUAACCUAGAACCCACAAAGGGUGUUGGUCGAUUAAGACAGCGGGGCGGUGGUCAUGGAAGUCGAAAUCCGCUAAGGAGUGUGUAACAACUCACUGCCGAAUCAACUAGCCCGAAAAUGGAUGGCGCUUAAGCGCGAGACCUAUACCGGCCGUCGGGGCAAGAGCCAGCCCCGAUGAGUAGGAGGUGCGGCGGCUGCAAAACCGGGCGUGAGCGGCGGAGCGGCCGUCGGUCAGAAUCUUGGUGGUAGUAGCAAAUAUUCAAAUGAGAACUUUGAAGGCGAAGAGGAAAGGUUCCAUGUGAGCGGAACUUGCACAUGGGUUAGUCGAUCCUAAGAGGCGAGGAAGCCCGUCCGACAGAGCGUCAUAGCGAGCUUCGAAAGGAAUCAGGUUAAAAUUCCCGAACCGACGCGGCGGUAGCGGCAACGUUAGAAGUCCGGAGGCGUCGGCGGGCCUCGGGAAGAGUUAUCUUUCGUUUAACGGCUCGCCCACCGAAACGACUUCGAUCGGAGGUAGGGUCCAGCGGUGGAAGAGCACCGCCGUCGCGCGGUGUCCGUCGCGCCGAGGCUCGUGAAAAUCCGGAGGACCGAGUGCCUCCGCGCCCGGUCGUACUCAUAACCGCAUCAGUCUCCAAGGUGAGCGACCUCGGCCAAUGGAACAAUGUAGGCAAGGAAGUCGGCAAAAUGGAUCCGUAACCUCGGGAAAAGGAUUGGCUCGAGGUGGGCAGGGGUCCUAGUCCCGAACCCGUCGGUGUCGACGGAUCGCUCGAGCCGCUCCGCGGCGAGGCGGUUCGCCGAGUGCCGGUGGGACGGACUAGGAACGGCCUCGGGCCUACCCAGCAUCGAGCGAUCGACUCAGAAUCGGUAUUGACAAGGGAAUCCAUCGUUUAAUUAAAACAAAGCAUUGCGAUGGUCCUGCGGAUGCUCACGCAAUGUGAUUUACGCGAUGCUCACGAAUGUCAAAGUGAAGAAAUUGAACCAAGCGCGGAUAAGCGGCGGGAGUAACUAUGACUCUCUUAAGGUAGCCAAAUGCCUCGUCAUCUAAUUAGUGACGCGCAUGAAUGGAUUAACAAGAUUCCCAUUUGUCCCUGUCUACUAUCCGGCAAAACCACGACCAAGGGAACGGGCUUGGCGGAAUCGUGAGGAAAGAAGACCUGUUGAGCUUGACUCUAGUCCGACUUUGUGAAAUGACUUGAGAGGUGUAGGAUAAGUGGGAGCCGGAAGCGGCGACGGUGAAAUACCACUACUUUUAACGUUAUUUUACUUAUUCCGUGAAUCGGGCGGGGCCUCGCCUCUUUUUGGACCCAAGGCCGCCACGGCCGAUCUGCGGAAGACAUUGUCGGUGGGGAGUUUGGUGAGCGGCACAUCUGUUAAAAGAUAACGCAGUGUCCUAAGAUGAGCUCAACGAGCAAUCUCGUAUGGAACAAAAGGGUAAAAGCUCGUUUGAUUACGAUUUCGAUGCGAAUACGAACCGUGAAAGCGUGGCCUAUCGAUCCUUUAGACCUUGAAUUUGAAGCUAGAGGUGUCGGAAAAGUUACCACAGGGAUAAGCGGCUUGUGGCGACCAAGCGUUCAUAGCGACGUUGCUUUUGAUCCUUCGAUGUCGGCUCUUCCUAUCAUUGUGAAGCGAAUUCACCAAGUGUUAGAUUGUUCACCCACCAAUAGGGAGCGUGAGUGGGUUUAGACCGUCGUGAGACGGGUUAGUUUUACCCUGCGAUGACCGCGUCGCGAUGGUAAUUCAACCUAGUACGAGAGGCGGUUGAUUCGCACAAUUGCUCAUCGCGCUUGGUUGAAAAGCGGUGGCGCUGGUUACCGUCGUUGGAUUAUGACCAACGCCUUUAAGUCGAGAAUCCGGGCCAAGCGACGCCGUGUCCGGCGCCGCUUGCCUACUGCGGUAGGGGCCCUCCGGCCCAUAGCGCGUGCCGUUGGCUAAGCCCCCGCGGCGGACGAGCUGCGCGGGCCGCCUUGAAGUACUAUUCCCACCGGGCGUCGGGCAGAAUCCUUUGCAGACGACUUAAAUACGCGACGGGGUAUUGUAAGUGGCAGAGUGGCCUUGCUGCCACGAUCCACUAAGAUUCAGCCCUUUGUCGCUACGAUUCGU